AUGAUUAGAACAUCUCAGGACUCUCCACCAACUAUCCAACAUCCCAGCUGGAAGACCAAUAUUACUAAUAAGAUGUCUUUUUGUUUCUCAGAGGAUUAUGGGGCCAUCAAAGAAACCGCAAUUUCCCAAAGGCAAACCAGCCAGCUGUCAUCCUCCUUCUGCUUAAUUCUGGAUUCUAUUUAUCAUUAAAAUGCAUUCUCAUGCUAUCCAUGUCGAGAGAAAGAACUGUGGGAGUAGAAACACAGAAGAAAGACAUAUGAUUGAUCACAUGUUCAUAUGGGCAUAAGGUUUGGAGUUUGAUUUUUAAAAGAUUGCUCUAUUGCAAAAAUGAAUAAUAUGGAAAUAGGUAUUGAGAGAUAAUACAUGUAUAACUGGUUGGAAGUACUUGUCAGCUUCAGGAGGAAG
rnacentral:lncRNA from 1 species